CUCCAUGCUUCCCCAUGUAAGAUGUGCCUUUCACCUUCUGCCAUGAUUAUGAGGCCUCCCGAGCCACGUGGAACUGGUCUUCAUUACUCCAGCCAAAAAAAAUAGUAAUGAAAAUGGAAACACUUCAAGGUUUCUUUGAAGACUAGAAAUAAGUUCGUGAAGGAUAUGGCAUAUAACAGAGCUGGAACACCCUUCUUCUCCUGCCUUUGGACAUCAGAACUUCAGAUUCUCUGGCCUUCAGACUUCGAGACUUGCACUAGUGGCCCCCUGGGUUCUCAAGGUUUUGGCCGCCUCGGUUGAGAGUUACACCAUCAGCUUCUUUGGUUCUGAGGCCGUUGGAGUUGGACUGAGCCGUGCUACCAUCUUCCCUGGGUCUCCAGCCUGCAGAUUGCCUACUGUGAGAUUUAGCCUCCAUAAUCACGUAACAGAAUAUUGGCGUGUAGCACUCCUCAAAACAUAGAAAGCAGAAACAAAUCAAUUCUGCCUGGAGGACCUCCCCGAUCUCAACACCCAGUGGUUUUGACAGAAUUGAUAUAGAAAUAGAAGCUUCAAGCAACCUUACGAUGGAGGCAGAAGAAGGAUUCUAUGGUUGGAAACCUGCCAGACUCACAGGCUAUGGAGAAGAAAGGCUAAAUCCACCAGACUGUUGGAUGCACCUAAAAGAAAUUGCCCUCCGUGGCUCGGUUUCUUAUUAAUAUACUCAUAGAAAUGCACAAGAACUGAAAGCUCAAUAGGGAAACCAAAAAAUAAAAAUUUUUAAAAAA
rnacentral:lncRNA from 1 species